rnacentral:rRNA from 1 species
AACGAACGCUGGCGGCGUGGCUAAGGCAUGCAAGUCGAACGGACCCUUACGAGGGGUAACCUGAGUUUGGGUUAGUGGCGAACGGGUAGAGGAAUGCAUGGAUAACGUACCCCAGACACGGGAUAGCGGCGGGACGCAAGUCUCUUUAGCGAAAGUGCCGGUAAUACCCGAUGACCCCGUAGGAUCGCAUGAUCCAGCGGGCAAAGCUCCGACGGUCUGUGAGCGAUCCAUGCCCAUCAGCUAGUUGGUGGGGUAACGGCCCACCAAGGCGGCGACGGGUAGCGGGCGUGAGAGCGU